UUUGACCCCAAGACCUUCUUGCUGCAAAACAGCAGUGUUAACAACUGCACCACCAUGCCCUAAAUCCACAUUUAAAAUAAAUAACAAAACUAGUUAAACAUUGCAGUGCGUUGCAUAAGUAUUCAUACUCCUUGUCAUUUUGUCAUGUUACAACCACAUACUUCAGGGUUUUUGUUGUGGUGGGGGUGGGGGGAUUUUAUUUGACAGACCAACACAAAGUACAGCAUAAUUGUGAACUUAAAGGAAGACACACUUGUCAAAAUUUCUUGCAAAUUAGAAAAGUGUGGCAUGUAUUUGUAUUCACCCCUAUUACUCCAACAAGCCAAAAUUAAAUCCAGGUCAACGACUUGCCCUCACAAGACACCUACUGAAUAAAUACUGUGCAUCCUGAAAGUAUUCACAGUGCUUUUUCUACAUUUAAUUAUGUUACAGCCUUAUUUCACAUGGUAUCAAAUUAAUCUAUUUCCUCAAAAUUGUACACACAAUACCCUAUUAUGAUAAUGUGAAACAAGUUUGUUUGAGAUUGUUGCUAAUUUAUUACAAAUAGAAAACUAAGAAAUCACAUUUGCAUAAGUAUUCACAGCCUUUGCUUAAUACUUUGUUGAUCCACCAUUAGGAGCAAAUUCAACCUCAAGUCUUUUUGAAUAUGAUGCCACAAGCACAGCUCACCUAGUCGUCCCAGUCUGUGGUCAACAGCUCUGGCGCAGGUUUUCAUUCAGGAUGUCUCCGUACAUUGCUGCAUUCAUCUUUCUCUCUAUCCUGACUAGUCUGCAAGUUCCUGCUGCUGAAAUCAUCCCCAUAGAAUGAUGCUGCCACCACCAUGCUUCACUGUAGGGGUGGUAUUGGUCUGGUGAUGAGUUGUUCCUGGUUUCCACCAAACAUGACACCUGGGAUUCACACCAAAGAGUUCAUUCUUUGUCUCAUCAGACCAGAUAAUUUUGUUGGUCAUGGUUUGACAGUCCUUCAGGUGCCUUUUGGCAAACUCCAGACUGGCUGUCAUGUUCUUUUUAUUAAGGAGUGGCUUUCGUCUGGCCACUACCAUACAGUCCUGAUUGGUGGAUUGCUGCAGAGUUUGCUGUCCUUCUGGAAGGUUCUCCUCUCUCUACACAAAGGAUCACCGGAACUCUGACAGAGUGACCAUGGGGUUCUUGGUCACCUCCCUGAGUAAGGCUUUUCUCCCCCAAUCACUCAGUUUAGACGGCCAACCAGCUCUAGGAAGAGUCCUGGUGGUUCCAAACAUCUUGCAUUUACGAAUGAUUGAGGCCACUGUGCUCAUUUGGACCUUCAAAGCAGAAACUUUUCUGUAUCCUUUCCCAGAUUUGUGCCUCAAGACAAUCCUGUCUCAGAGGUCUACAGACAAUUCCUUUGACUUCAUGCUUGGUGUUUGUGCUCUGACCUGCACUGUCAAAUGUGGGACCUUAUAUAGACAGGGGUGUGCCCUUCCUAAUCAUGUCAAAUCAACUGAAUUCACCACCCCAUUUAAGCUGUAGAAACAUCUUAAGGAUGACCAGUGGAAACUAUGCACCUCAGCUCAAUUUUGAGCUUCAUGGCAUAGGCUGUGAAUACUUAUGUAAAUGUGAUUUCUUAGUUUUCUAUUUGGAAUAAAUUUGCAACAGUCUCAAUCAAACUUUAUUUACCUUGUCAUAAUGGAGUAUGGUGUGUAGAGUUUUGAGGAAAGAGAUUACUUUGAUGACAUUUGGAAUAAAGCUGAAACAUAACUAAAUGUGAAGAAAAUUGCAGUGCUGUUGUUAUGGUUCUGGCCCAUCUGCCUGCUUCCUCCUCUGCCCUCCUGUCAGCAAUCAGCUCCAUCUGCUCCACCUGUUUGCUGCUGCGUUGCAGCGCAAUCAUUGUCAUGCCACUCACCUGUGCACCAGCAGUUAUAUUCAGCCUCCGUCUGGCAGACGGUGCCAGAUUUUUGAAAGCCAUUUGAGAUCCAGCGUGUCUUCCUGCCUGAUCAUGGUUUCUGACCAUGUUUUUGUCUCUUGGAUUUCCCUCUCCUGCCUGGCCCUUGUUGGAUGUCUCUAACUCUGGAUCUCAACGCUGUUUCUGUCCCUGGAUUUUUGUCUCUGCCCAGCCCCUGGUUUUAUCUGCCUAAGCCUACCUGCCUUUCCUUCCUGCCAUGACUCCCUGUCCCCGCCCAGUCCCCUGUCAAGUGGCCUGUCCCGGCUUUUCUGGUUCUCGCCCCCGCAUCAACUUACUGGUCGGUGAGUUUGGGUCUAUCGGCAAUCCGACAACGGUCAGUGGGACACUCCCGUAUGGAUGUUCUAGGCUGGCUUCUGAUUGACUACCUCCCAGCUGAGGAGCCGUUUCCUGGUUCGCUGUCCCACACAGACCCUGAGAAGUGGUUCCUGUGUUCUGAUUGGUGGUUGCCAGUGUUCCUGUGUCCAAGACCAUAAUAAAUCUUAACUUGUG